rnacentral:rRNA from 1 species
CACGUGGGUAACCUGCCUUAUAGUGGGGGAUAGCCUUUCGAAAGGAAGAUUAAUACCGCAUAAGAUUGUAGUAUCGCAUGAUAUAGCAAUUAAAGGAGCAAUUCGCUAUAAGAUGGACCCGCGUCGCAUUAGCUAGUUGGUGAGGUAAUGGCUCACCAAGGCGACGAUGCGUAGCCGACCUGAGAGGGUGAUCGGCCACAUUGGGACUGAGACACGGUCCAGACUCCUACGGGAGGCAGCAUG